UUUAAUAAUAUGAAAAUUUGAGUAGUUUAGUUCAAAGUUCUAAAAUAUAUCUCUUGAAAAGUAGAUAGUUUUUCUUACUUUCGUUUAUUAUAUAAAAAAUGUUGUACUUCUUUUUAUAAUUAUCAAUAUUGUCUAAAAGAAAAUAAAAAUCAUAAAAUUCAUCCUUAAAAAAAAACAAAAAAAAAAGUUUGGGGCCUCAAAAGUUUGGUGGCCUAAAACAAAGGCUUUACUAGCCUCAUCCUUGAGCCAUCCCUGUCUACAUAGAGAGCUUGGUUUCUCCUUCCUUGUGAAGAUUCAUGAAUCAAGGUCUUUGCAAGAGAAAUGGUCUGGAGCACAUUGAGCGGGAUGGGAUCGAAGCUCGAAAAUUUCUAAGUCAUUAUGAGGAAACCUAACCUGGGGACAAGAGAUCCUAUAACCAGAUUCAAUGGAAAAAUAAAAUCGUGAUGAUUUGUUUUGAAAUGCACUAUUAUUUUCCUUAUUCCCUCCCUAUGGUGUGAGUGCAUUUUUCCUGUAGUGAUUUGUGGAGGAUUAAAGCUCACGUCAACACCUUUAUUAUUAUGUGUAAGCAGGGAUAUU